UUUCUAAUUUCCAGUUAAAACCAAUAUUGGCCAAGGAAUAGGAACGAAUCCCUCCACCAAGCAUAAAUAGCAAACCUUAAAAGGAGAUGAGUUGCAGAAAGGAAUGAAAUCUAUUAAAUCAUAAAU